rnacentral:sRNA from 1 species
GAAGAAAUCCCAACACAAGUAUGUCAUCGGGCCCAAGGGCAAUUCAUUGCAGGAGAUCCUUGAGAGAACUGGAGUUUCCGUUGAGAUCCCACCCUCAGACAGCAUCUCUGAGACUGUAAUACUUCGAGGCGAACCUGAAAAGUUAGGUCAGGCGUUGACUGAAGUCUAUGCCAAGGUAACUGCCUCCGAGCAUGAAGUGUGUCUCCUUUGAGUGGAGUCCGCGGGGCCUUCAUGGAUGAGCUCUCAAUUUGUAAAUCCUGGGGCCUGGACACAGUGCAGGUGCCCAGGUUUGGGGAGAGCGUGCCUCUGAGCCUCAGAUGAGCAGCCUGUGACACGACCUUGAGCUCUGCAAACCCAUGGCUGUUCUCCCAUUUUCUUAGGCCAAUAGUUUCACCGUCUCCUCUGUCGCCGCCCCUUCCUGGCUUCACCGUUUCAUCAUUGGCAAGAAAGGGCAGAACCUGGCCAAAAUCACUCAGCAGAUGCCAAAGGUUCACAUCGAGUUCACAGAGGGCGAAGACAAGAUCACCCUGGAGGGCCCUACAGAGGAUGUCAAUGUGGCCCAGGAACAGAUAGAAGGCAUGGUCAAAGAUUUGAUUAACCGGAUGGACUAUGUGGAGAUCAACAUCGAC